GCGCCAGUAGUGUAACGGAUAGAGCACGCGCUCCCGGAUAGAGUGAGAUGUGGGUUCGAGUCCCGGCUGACGCG